GUUUUCUUAGCCGAGUGGUUAAGGCGACAGACUAGAAAUCUUUUGGGAUCUUCCCGCGCAGGAUCGAAUCCUGCCAACAGCG
rnacentral:tRNA from 1 species